rnacentral:rRNA from 1 species
GAUGAACGCUGGCGGCGUGCCUAAUACAUGCAAGUCGAGCGAACAGAUGAGGAGCUUGCUCCUCUGACGUUAGCGGCGGACGGGUGAGUAACACGUGGAUAACCUACCUAUAAGACUGGGAUAAAUUCGGGAAACCGGAGCUAAUACCGGAUAAUAUAUUGAACCGCAUGGUUCAAUAGUGAAAGACGGUUUUGCUGCCACUUAUAGAUGGAUCCGCGCCGCAUUAGCUAGUUGGUAAGGUAACGGCUUACCAAGGCAACGAUGCGUAGCCGACCUGAGAGGGUGAUCGGCCACACUGGAACUGAGACACGGUCCAGACUCCUACGGGAGGCAGCAGUAGGGAAUCUUCGGCAAUGGGCGAAAGCCUGACGGAGCAACGCCGCGUGAGUGAUGAAGGUCUUCGGAUCGUAAAACUCUGUUAUUGGGGAAGAACAGAUGUGUAAGUAACUAUGCACGUCUUGACGGUACCUAAUCAGAAAGCCACGGCUAACUACGUG